AGUUUGAUUCAGGCUCAGGAUGAACGCUGGCGGCGUGCCUAAUACAUGCAAGUCGAGCGAAUGGAUUAAGAGCUUGCUCUUAUGAAGUUAGCGGCGGACGGGUGAGUAACACGUGGGUAACCUGCCCAUAAGACUGGGAUAACUCCGGGAAACCGGGGCUAAUACCGGAUAACAUUUUGAACCGCAUGGUUCGAAAUUGAAAGGCGGCUUCGGCUGUCACUUAUGGAUGGACCCGCGUCGCAUUAGCUAGUUGGUGAGGUAACGGCUCACCAAGGCAACGAUGCGUAGCCGACCUGAGAGGGUGAUCGGCCACACUGGGACUGAGACACGGCCCAGACUCCUACGGGAGGCAGCAGUAGGGAAUCUUCCGCAAUGGACGAAAGUCUGACGGAGCAACGCCGCGUGAGUGAUGAAGGCUUUCGGGUCGUAAAACUCUGUUGUUAGGGAAGAACAAGUGCUAGUUGAAUAAGCUGGCACCUUGACGGUACCUAACCAGAAAGCCACGGCUAACUACGUGCCAGCAGCCGCGGUAAUACGUAGGUGGCAAGCGUUAUCCGGAAUUAUUGGGCGUAAAGCGCGCGCAGGUGGUUUCUUAAGUCUGAUGUGAAAGCCCACGGCUCAACCGUGGAGGGUCAUUGGAAACUGGGAGACUUGAGUGCAGAAGAGGAAAGUGGAAUUCCAUGUGUAGCGGUGAAAUGCGUAGAGAUAUGGAGGAACACCAGUGGCGAAGGCGACUUUCUGGUCUGUAACUGACACUGAGGCGCGAAAGCGUGGGGAGCAAACAGGAUUAGAUACCCUAGGUAGUCCA
rnacentral:rRNA from 1 species